rnacentral:lncRNA from 1 species
AGCACUCCUCUUUCUCUCAUCAGCUUCCUCGUCGUCAGGGACUGUUUCCAGCUACCUUCGGCAGCGAGAAUGCUGGCCAACUGUAUGUAUCGGCCACUCUGUUCCGGUUCCAGCUCGAUCAGCAUCUUUCCUACGUGCUUUCCUAGCUCGAAGUUUCUGUGAAUCCGACAGGCGUUGGCCAGUGCUCCCCAGACCGCAGCGUUGGGGUCGAAGGGCAUCGCGUUGAUCAAGUCCUCUGCUUCCUUCAGCAUCCCCGCUCUGCCGAGGACGUCAACCAUGCACCCAUAGUGUUCGACGGAU